CAGAGGUAGUUUAAAUAAAAUAUUAAUUUUGGGGAUUAAAGAUAAUUCUAAUUUCUCUGA
rnacentral:tRNA from 1 species